rnacentral:rRNA from 1 species
AGUCGAGCGGUAGAGAGAAGCUUGCUUCUCUUGAGAGCGGCGGACGGGUGAGUAAUGCCUAGGAAUCUGCCUGGUAGUGGGGGAUAACGCUCGGAAACGGACGCUAAUACCGCAUACGUCCUACGGGAGAAAGCAGGGGACCUUCGGGCCUUGCGCUAUCAGAUGAGCCUAGGUCGGAUUAGCUAGUUGGUGAGGUAAUGGCUCACCAAGGCGACGAUCCGUAACUGGUCUGAGAGGAUGAUCAGUCACACUGGAACUGAGACACGGUCCAGACUCCUACGGGAGGCAGCAGUGGGGAAUAUUGGACAAUGGGCGAAAGCCUGAUCCAGCCAUGCCGCGUGUGUGAAGAAGGUCUUCGGAUUGUAAAGCACUUUAAGUUGGGAGGAAGGGCAUUAACCUAAAACGUUAGUGUCUUGACGUUACCGACAGAAUAAGCACCGGCUAACUCUGUGCCAGCAGCCGCGGUAAUACAGAGGGGGCAAGCGUUAAUCGGAAUUACUGGGCGUAAAGCGCGGGGUAGGUGGUUUGUUAAG